UCUAAUAAAUCAAUGAUGUCUAGAUGUCCAUGUUGAAAUACUCUUCGGGCUUUUCCGGUCUAUGUCCAUUUAACCAAGUAUUCAGAUGAUAUCGUUGACCUCAGAAUGUUGCAAGGAAUCCCUCUCCGUUGGUGUACCCGGCAUCAACAAGAUAGUAGUUACCUUUAGGCACUUGCAAUCCAUUCUCUCGAAUCAUAGCACUACAAAGAAUUCUACCAUCAACAACUGAUCCUUCCCAGCCUGGUAAUACAUAAAUGAACUGCAUGUCAGGUGUGCAAGCAGUAAGUACAUUGGUUAUUAUUUCUCCUUUUCGAUUACGGUACCUCGGCUUGUCUUCCUCUCGUACUUGUACACUUAUACGUGUCUCAUAUAUUGCUCCUAAACAUCCCUUGAACCAUUCCAUCUUUCAUGUCUUGAAGUUUCUAAUAUUGGCUCUUGCUUUUUAAAAAAGUUCAUCUUCCAGUCGUAUAAGAGCGUUUAACACAUUGUUGAAAUGUUUACUAAUAGUCUCUCCUGAUCAGCAAAAUUGAAA
rnacentral:lncRNA from 1 species